UACGGGGGGGGCAAGCGUUGUUCGGAAUUACUGGGCGUAAAGGGCUCGUAGGUGGCCAACUAAGUCAGACGUGAAAUCCCUCGGCUUAACCGGGGAACUGCGUCUGAUACUGGAUGGCUUGAGAUUGGGAGAGGGAUGCGGAAUUCCAGGUGUGGCGGUGAAAUGCGUAGAUAUCUGGAGGAACACCGGUGGCGAAGGCGGCAUCCUGGACCAACACUGACACUGAGGAGCGAAAGCCAGGGGAGCAAACGGG
rnacentral:rRNA from 1 species